rnacentral:rRNA from 1 species
GACGAACGCUGGCGGCGUGCUUAACACAUGCAAGUCGAACGGAAAGGCCCUGCUUUUGUGGGGUGCUCGAGUGGCGAACGGGUGAGUAACACGUGAGUAACCUGCCCUUGACUUUGGGAUAACUUCAGGAAACUGGGGCUAAUACCGGAUAGGAGCUCCUACUGCAUGGUGGGGGUUGGAAAGUUUCGGCGGUUGGGGAGGGACUCGCGGCUUAUCAGCUUGUUGGUGGGGUAGUGGCUUACCAAGGCUUUGACGGGUAGCCGGCCUGAGAGGGUGACCGGCGACAUUGGGACUGAGGUACGGCCCAGACUCCUACGGGAGGCAACAGUGGAGAAUAUUGCACAAUGGGCAGAAGCCUGAUGCAGCAACGCCGCGUGCGGGAUGACGGCCUUCGGGUUGUAAACCGCUUUCGCCUGUGACGAAGCGUGAGUGACGGUAAUGGGUAAAGAAGCACCGGCUAACUACGUG